GCAAGAGAGAGCAAGGGUGGCAUUUCAUUACAAGGAGGGAGAAAAGGAGAGAGGGAACAGCACCGAUUGUCAGCUUCGUCCUAUACUCCUCUUUUGUGACGGUGGGAUCGAAUACUUAACUGGGGAGGUCCUGGAAGUUUUGGACCUGAAAGCCAUGGGACUAAAGAUUUGUCACUCUGGAGGCUUGAAUCGUGAAUUUUUAGAAUAUGCAGCACCCCGUACAUGUAUACAUGUUUGUGAAUGGGUGACACAGCUGCAAGACAAUUAUGGGAGACACACCAAUGCUCAGCUAGAAGUUUUACUGCUCAUCAAAUCCUGACCCACUAACCUCAGGACUUGAUCAAAGAAGGAAAUGAAGAUAACUGUCAUGACUUUUCUUAGGGAAUUGAAACUGCUCGAGUCCCAUAAUCUUUGUUAUUUGCUACCAAACCAUUUUUAGACAAUCCCUUUGGCAAAGAUCAGGAUCAAAACAGUUGUCUAAAUUUUUUCCUCAUACUGAAGACAACUUACCACAAUUCAGUCUUCUGACCCCUCUGGCAGGCACUGUGAGCUCUAUAAUUCCUCAAAGAUCACCUUUUGGUUUUAAGAUCACACAACUUCCUUCAUUUCCUGAGAUGAAAUUUGUCUUGGUCUGAGGGCUGAAUGGCCAGUAAAAGCUCCUACCGUGGCCCCUCUUCAUGAGACUGCACCCCGUCCCACUGCCCAUCUGAUUUGUUCUGCACCUAAGUCCCCUCCCUGCUAAUACCAGAAUGGGCCUUUGAGGCUUGGGGAAGCAGGGUACUAGCCAUGCACAGGGAGGGACAGGUGGAAAAUGGGUGGAAGGUGCCAUACUUCAAAGGUGGGCUGGCCACAUAGGACAAAUGUCAGUGUUGAAGAAGGCCAGUGGGGUCACUCAUCAAGUGUAAGCAUCAUGCUUUCAGGGGCCAGGCAAGCAGCUCAAAUGUAUAGGGAGGGUGGAGGUAAGCCAUGGGGAGUGGUAAGGCCUGUGGUCAGCUGGAGAGAGCAUGCCCCUCCUCAAAACAUUCCAAUUCUAGGUCUUUUAAAACUCUGUGCUCGCCAAGCAAAACGCUGCUGUAUUUGCUGGUAAUCUGCCCUCUGGCCCAGUCUGUGACCUCUGAUUCAAGUCCAACUCAGUCUAAGAGAACCUGCCCUCAGCACAGCCAACUGUGGGAGUGAGCCUGGGGCCAUGCUUGGGUGAGGCUAGAGCUGGUUGGACCAGAGCAGACACCUGAUUACAGGAGCCAAUCACAGCCUUUCUUCUCAGACCUGGAAUUGGGCACUGAAUAAUCAACAAGCUAUGGAGAAUGAGGAUGGAAUGUCCUAGAGACAGGCAAGAAGGGUGAGGCCGAGAAAGACCACAAAGCCCCAUGAGGAUGGAAGGGGUGGCAUCUCUUCUAACUUUCAGGGUCCAACCCCUGUGUGGGCCAGAAGCUCCUCCCUUCCUGCCCUUGCCUGUCUGGAAGACCACUUACCUUUAACCUAAAUUUGAGGGGAUUAUUCAAAUUUAGCCAAACAAUCCCCAAUGAUGACACCCAGCCUUUACAAAUGAGGAAAGUGAACUCCAGAGAGGAGGACAAACUGUCUGUGCUCACCUGUAC